rnacentral:rRNA from 1 species
AAGGGUGCGUAGGCGGCCUGUUAAGUCAGGGGUGAAAGACGGUAGCUCAACUAUCGCAGUGCCCUUGAUACUGACGGGCUUGAAUGGACUAGAGGUAGGCGGAAUGUGACAAGUAGCGGUGAAAUGCAUAGAUAUGUCACAGAACACCGAUUGCGAAGGCAGCUUACUAUGGUUUUAUUGACGCUGAGGCACGAAAGCGUGGGGAUCAAACAGGAUUAGAUACCCCUGGU